ACUCAAAUGAAUUGACGGGGGCCCGCACAAGCAGCGGAGCGUGUGGUUUAAUUCGAUGCAACGCGAAGAACCUUACCUGGGCUUGACAUGGCCCUGCAAAGGCUGGAAACAGCCUCCUCCUUCGGGACAGGGUCACAGAUGUUGCAUGGCUGUCGUCAGCUCGUGUCGUGAGAUGUUGGGUUAAGUCCCGCAACGAGCGCAACCCUCGUGACUAGUUGCACUAUCUAGUCAGACUGCCCACUAAAUGGGAGGAAGGUGGGGAUGACGUCAAGUCCGCAUGGCUCUUACGUCCAGGGCUACACACACGCUACAAUGGCCGGUACAGAGCGCGGCAAGCACGCGAGUGCAAGCAAAUCGCCAAAGCCGGCCUCAGUUCGGAUUGCAGGCUGCAACCCGCCUGCAUGAAGUCGGAGUUGCUAGUAACCGCGUGACAGCACAGCGCGGUGAAUGAGUUCCCGGGCCUUGUACACACCGCCCGU
rnacentral:rRNA from 1 species